rnacentral:tRNA from 1 species
AGCCUUAUAUUCAACGAUGAUUUUAAAUUGCAAAUUUGAAGGUAGACGACUGUCUUAAGGCUU